ACCCAGCUGACGAGUCUCAAAUAGGACGAAACCUGUGUCCUGCAU
rnacentral:hammerhead_ribozyme from 1 species